GACGAACGCUGGCGGCGCGCUUAACACAUGCAAGUCGAACGGAAAGGCCUGCUUUCCCUUGUGGAUUGCGGGUACUCGAGUGGCGAACGGGUGAGUAACACGUGAGUGAUCUGCCCCCAACUUGGGUAUAAGCCUGGGAAACUGGGUCUAAUUCCCGAUAGGACUGCAGGGUGGUGCCUGUGGUGGAAAACGAUUUUCUAGUGGUUGGGGAUGAGCUCGCGGCCUAUCAGCUUGUUGGUGGGGUAAUGGCCUACCAAGGCGGCGACGGGUAGCCGGCCUGGGAGAGUGGACGGGCACAGUGGGACUGCGAUACGGCCCAGACGCCUACGGGAGGCAGCAGUGGGGAAUAAUGCACAAGGGGCGGAAGCCUGAUGCAGCGACGCCGCGUGAGGGAUGACGGGCUUCGGGUGGUAAACUCCUUUCGACCGCGAGGAAGCCACCUGGUUGGAAGGGUGGUGACGGUAGUGGUAGAAGAAGCACCGGCUAACUACGUG
rnacentral:rRNA from 1 species